AAGCUAUUCCAACCCCGGCACCCAGUAAGUCCGCCCAGAACACGCUCUAGGAGUUUGCUGCUUCCUUUCCUUGUCUUCUCUUUAAAAGGAGCUACACCUGCGCACUUGCCUGGAGCAGCGUUAUUCCAGGGUGGCACCUUUUCAGACCGGCUCCUAACCCAGCUCCAUUCCUCAGGGCUCCUCUCUCCCCGCCUUCAGCAUCCACAGGGUCUCUGCCUCUUCUUGAGAAUGAUGUUCACCUGCACAGUGCAGAGACUUCCAGAAUCUGGAUUUUAUGUGACAUUUGUGUUGUGGCUGAUCUUAGUCCUGAAGGCCAGAAGAGAGCACCAGAUCUCAUUAUGGAUGGCUGUGAGCCACAAUGUGGUUGCUGGGAAUUGAACUCAUGACCUCUGGAAAAGCAGCCAGUGCUCUGAGCCAUCUCUCCAGCCCCUAAGCAGUAACUUUUAAUAGCUGAAAAACACAUU